rnacentral:rRNA from 1 species
AAUGAACGCUGGCGGCAUGCUUUACACAUGCAAGUCGAACGGCAGCGCGGGCUUCGGCCUGGCGGCGAGUGGCGAACGGGUGAGUAAUGCAUCGGAACGUGCCCAGUAGUGGUGGAUAGCCCGGCGAAAGCCGGAUUAAUACCGCAUACGACCUGAGGUUGAAAGCGGGGGACCGAAAGGCCUCGCGCCAUUGGGGCGGCCGAUUUCGGGUUAGCUAGUUGGUGGGGUAAAGGCUGACCAAGGCGACGAUCCGUAGCUGGUCUGAGAGGACGACUAGCCACAGGGAGGCUGAGACACGGAACAGAGACGGACGGAAGGCACGGGGGGGGAUGUUUGGAGAAUGGGGGCAACAGUGCGCCAGCCGUGCGGCGUGGGGGAAGAAGGCCUUCGGGUGGUAAACCGCUUUUGUUCGGGAGAAACGCCUCUGGGUUAAUACCACGGGGGGAUGAGGGUACCGGAAGAAAAAGCCCCGGCUAACAACGU